UCAGGAAUAUGAAAGAAUUUCAAUUGUUCUUCAAGACUACCAGAAGAAAAAGAAUGAUUCAACAUUUUUGGAAAAGAAGGAGCGUUGUGAUUAUCUGAAGAACAAAUUGGCUCAUAUUAAACAACGAAUUCAGGACUACGAUAAAGUUAUGACUUGGGAUGAUCAAUACAUCCCAUGAAUUCCUUCCUGUAUGGAAACUUUAGUUUCAGCUUAUGCAGUUUAUUCACUGCAUAUGAUUUCAAAAAUAAGUGCGAACUUUGAGCAAAUAGGAGAUGUUCUUUGUUGUUAAAAAAAAAAAAAAAAAAAAAAGGCUCCUCAUUGCUUUUUUAGUAUAACAUCCUAGUACAUGUACUCUUGGCCUGCAGGUUAUGCUUGUAUGCUGGAUUUCUUUAGGGCUGUACAAAAAUGUUAUUGACUUGUAUAUAGUCCUUUCCAGUGAGAGAGAAAGAAAGGGGGGCAGGAACGCAAGAGAGAGAGAGCAUUGUUCAAGAGUCUGUAGAUCCUGAGGUCUUUGUAAACAUUAUGGAGAUGUGCUUUGUUCAUGGAUACAUACAUCAAUGUGCUUCAUUUAGUAGGUGGGUCACUGCCUUAUGGUAAGUUGUUUUUUAUGAGUGGUGAGGUUUACACAAGAGGAAUAGCUGUGAUAGUCCAUAAAUUGAUAUUUUUAUGCGGCAUGUUUUCACACAUGAAUUCCAUCUUUUCAUCUUGGGUACAGAAGCACCACAUUCUUUUAGAGAUGCCAAUCUGUGUUGUGAACAUAAUGCCAGCAUGCUACUCUAGCAGUGUGAGUAAAUCCAUCCCUCCCCAAAGAAUAGAUGAGCCAACAUCAGUCUGUCAUGUGCAUUCUCCUCCCCACACAGGUGUACGCACUUGCCAGGUCCUUUGGACUUUUUAGUUAAACCCUGGUGACUAGAACUCCAGUUAGAGCAUAGUCCUUUUCUGCCACAGAACUAACUAUUCCUUACAUUUUUUGGCAGUUUUGUUGCUGUUAUAUUGUGCAUAUGUACUGGUUAUUGCUAGAAGCUGUGGCAAGUCUGGUAGUGAAGGUAUAUGGUACAUUAAGUACCUUUCAUCAUUUCUUUUUCAGUUGUGAGCUGUAAUGAGUUCAGAGAUUAGGAGUGUAGUGAUGGAGAUGAUGGUGUCCAUAUGAAUUAAAGGACCUGCAGUAGUGUCUGCUGUUUAGCACUUUUUUCACUUCUGUGCACCAUACAUUAUAGCAUAAAUUUUGGAUGGAGACAUUUACUGUUUAUAUUCUGAAAAGUGAUGUCCACGAUUUUGACUGUAGUAAAGUUUUCCACAUCACUGCUGACCGCAUCUGUGGUUAGCAUGGAUUUCAGUGUGUUUUUAUUGUUUUUAUUUGGUAUUGCUUAAUGUUACUACAGCUUUUAUUUGGCUAGAACUUGAGUGGAUCCUCUUCUCUUUCAUUGAUAAGAUUUACUCCUAUUUCUAAGUAUUGUAGA